GUUGUGUCGCCGCAUCCAGCCCGCUAGGAGGACUCCGCCACGUGACGUGUCGAAACCAAUUAGACUACGAAACGGUGGCGGCAAAUCGUUCCAGCACUUGGAUGCGGCGAACCUGAAACUGCCACGGAAAGCGGUGGUGCGGUGACGAGGUACCGCGAGUGAGUAGUACGACGCACGGGUCCUGGCAGCAGUCACGUCGCGGGACCAAACUAGUUUGUCCGCAAGAUAUGGCGGUAAUUUAAAAUUAACUAUUCCGAACAUCAGCGUUGCAAAAUGAAACUGUCUGCGAUAUUUCAUUUUUAGGAUUCUAGCCUUGUUUAUGUAAGGUGUUACGUGUGUGCGGGGAGGAAUUUUGAAGCAGAAUCUAGCGCAAGCAUUUUGUACUCUCUGAACCAGGUUUUGUGAGCGAGCCAGAAGCCGAGGCCCAUACACAGCGUCCAUAUAAUUAAACUUAGAGAGAAUUAAAGA